CUACGGGAGGCAGCAGUGGGGAAUAUUGGACAAUGGGCGAAAGCCUGAUCCAGCCAUGCCGCGUGUGUGAAGAAGGUCUUCGGAUUGUAAAGCACUUUAAGUUGGGAGGAAGGGCAUUAACCUAAUACGUUAGUGUUUUGACGUUACCGACAGAAUAAGCACCGGCUAACUUCGUGCCAGCAGCCGCGGUAAUACGAAGGGUGCAAGCGUUAAUCGGAAUUACUGGGCGUAAAGCGCGCGUAGGUGGUUUGUUAAGUUGAAUGUGAAAGCCCCGGGCUCAACCUGGGAACUGCAUCCAAAACUGGCAAGCUAGAGUAUGGCAGAGGGUGGUGGAAUUUCCUGUGUAGCGGUGAAAUGCGUAGAUAUAGGAAGGAACACCAGUGGCGAAGGCGACCACCUGGGCUAAUACUGACACUGAGGUGCGAAAGCGUGGGGAGCAAACACGGAUUAUGAUAUCCCUGGUAGUCCCCGCCGUAA
rnacentral:rRNA from 1 species